rnacentral:rRNA from 1 species
UACGUAGGGGCCGAGCGUUGUCCGGAGUUACUGGGCGUAAAGAGCUCGUAGGCGGUCUGUCGCGUCUGCUGUGAAAACUCAGGGCUUAACCCUGAGCUUGCAGUGGGUACGGGCAGACUAGAGUGCGGUAGGGGGAGACUGGAAUUCCUGGUGUAGCGGUGAAAUGCGUAGAUAUCGAGAGGAACACCUGCGGCGAAGGCGGGUAGCUGGGCCGACACUGACGCUGAAGCGCGAAAGCCAGGGGAGCGAACGGG